GACGAACGCUGGCGGCGUGCUUAACACAUGCAAGUCGAACGAUGAAGCUGGAGCUUGCUCUGGUGGAUUAGUGGCGAACGGGUGAGUAACACGUGAGUAACCUGCCCUGGACUCUGGGAUAACCCCGAGAAAUCGGAGCUAAUACCGGAUAGGACCUUGGAUCGCAUGAUCUGGGGUGGAAAGCUUUUCGGUCUGGGAUGGACUCGCGGGCUAUCAGCUUGUUGGUGAGGUAAUGGCUCACCAAGGCGUCGACGGGUAGCCGGCCUGAGAGGGUGACCGGCCAAACUGGGACUGAGACACGGCCCAGACUCAUACGGGAGGCAGCAGUGGGGAAUAUUGCACAAUGGGCGCAAGCCUGAUGCAGCAACGCCGCGUGCGGGAUGACGGCCUUCGGGUUGUAAACCGCUUUUAGUAAGGAAGAAGCCGCAAGGUGACGGUACUUGCAGAAAAAGGACCGGCUAACUACGUGCCAGCAGCCGCCGUAAGAC
rnacentral:rRNA from 1 species